ACGAACGCUGGCGGCGUGCUUAACACAUGCAAGUCGAACGGAAAGGCCCUGCUUUUGUGGGGUGCUCGAGUGGCGAACGGGUGAGUAACACGUGAGUAACCUGCCCUUGACUUUGGGAUAACUUCAGGAAACUGGGGCUAAUACCGGAUAGGAGCUCCUGCUGCAUGGUGGGGGUUGGAAAGUUUCGGCGGUUGGGGAUGGACUCGCGGCUUAUCAGCUUGUUGGUGGGGUAGUGGCUUACCAAGGCUUUGACGGGUAGCCGGCCUGACAGGGUGACCGGCCACAUUGGGACUGAGAUACGGCCCAGACUCCUACGGGAGGCAGCAGUGGGGAAUAUUGCACAAUGGGCGGAAGCCUGAUGCAGCAACGCCGCGUGCGGGAUGACGGCCUUCGGGUUGUAAACCGCUUUCGCCUGUGACGAAGCGUGAGUGACGGUAAUGGGUAAAGAAGCACCGGCUAACUACGUG
rnacentral:rRNA from 1 species